CAAUUUCCAAAUUUGGUUCUUUUUUUGGUGAUUCCUAAUUCCAUGUGUUCCAUUUAUAAUUUUGAGAUUUUUCUCAAGCGUUUGAGUUGGUGGUAGUUAAUUCGAACUUUCCAAAGAAGGAGGUUCACUUGGUUACCUUUCGUAGUUCGGUGGCCAAGACUCAAAUUGACUUUUUGCUCCUUAGGAAAGGUGACGGGGUUAUUUAUAAAGACUACAAGGUCUUACCGAGUGAGUCUUUAGACCCAUUAUAUGCUUUUGUUGAUGGACCCGGAGAUAAAAAAUAAGAGGAAAAAGAGAGGUGUAGAGGACCAGCCGAGAAUUUAAGGGGCAUUGACUAUGUCUAGUGCACUGGAUAUAGGGGAUAAGUUGAUGGUGAUGAAGGCUUGGGAUAGUGGAGGGGAUAUUAAUAGUAUGUGGGAUAAGACUGUCAGUUGCAUCAGGGAGACAGCUCGAGAGGUGUUGGGUGUUAAGAGAGGCUGCUUGGGCAAGCACCAAGAGGACUGGUGGUGGAACGAAGAGGUGAAGGCUAAGAAGAGGGCCUACUCAAAAUUGGCUGAGAGUAAGGAUGAAGAGAGAAAAUGGAAGAAUAGAGUAGAGUAUAAGAUUGCUUGGAGAGAUGGGAAGUUGAUGGUCAUAAUGGCUAAGUAUGCAACUUUCGAGAUUUUAUACUCUACGUUAGAUAGUAAAGGUGGGGAUAAGAAGUUAUACAGGCUAGCCAAGGUUAGGGAGAGGAAGGCUCGGGACCUUGACCAAGUGAAGUGUAUUAAGGAUGUGAACGACAAAAUUUUGGUGGAGGAUCUUAUUAGGAGGAGAUGUCAGUCUCACUUCCGUAAGCUCCUGAAUGAAGAAAGGGAUACUAGCAUUGUGUUGGGGGAUUUGAAGCAAUUUGAGAAGUUUUGCGACUGUGGUUAUUGUAGGCCCGUUAAGGUUGAGGAGCUUAAGAGGGAUAAUCGUAGGAUGCAUAUGGGUAGAGCGAUGGGGCCAGACGAGAUUUCGGUGGAUUUUUGGAAGUGCACAAGAGGGGGGUAGGUAUGGAGUGGCUUACUCGAUUGUUUAACAUAAUUUUCAGGACGACGAAGAUGCUUGGAGAUGGAGUACGAUGAUUUCGUUGUAUAAGAACAAGGGUGACAUUCGGGAUAACAACAAUUAUAAGGGUAUCAAGUUGUUGAGUCACACUAUGAAGGUUUGAAAAAGGGUGGUAGAGUUGAGGUUGUGGAGGAUUGUUACUAUUUCAGAGAAUUAGUUCGGAUUUAUGCCAGGGUGCUCGACUACUGAAGCCAUCCAUCUCUUUAGAAGACUGGUGGAGCAGUAUAGGGAGAGGAAGAAGGACUUGCACAUGGUGUUUAUCAACUUAAAGAAGGCCUACGAUAGUCCUAAGGAGGUGCUUGGAAGCUAGAGGUGUAUCUAUGGUGUAUGUUAGGGCGAUUAAGGAUAUGUAUGACAGGGCUAAGACUCGGGGUUAGGGGGGGGGGGGGGGGGGGGGACUCGGAGCACUUUUCUGUCUUGAUGGGGUUGCACCAAAGAUCGACUCUUAGUCCGUUUCUAUUUGCCUUGGUGAUGGAUGUUUUGACGUGGCAAAUUCAAGGUGAGGUGCCAACCUUACUUUUUGUAGAUGAUGUAAUUUGGUGGAGUUAAUGCUAAGAUUGAGUUUUGGAGGCAAAUCCUUGAGUCUAAAGGAUUUAGGUUGAGUAGGUCUAUGACGAAAUAUUUGGAGUGUAGGUUCAACGAGGUGUCACAUGAGUCCGAUGUGGUUGUAAAACUUGAUACUCAUUCCAUCCAAAAGAGAGAUAGCUUCAAGUAUUUGGGUCUAUGAUUUAAGGGAAUGGAGAGAUUGACGAGGAUGUCACUUAUCAGAUUGGGGUAGGGUGGAUGAAAUGGAGACUUGCCUCCGGAAUCUUGUGUGAUAGAAAGGUACCUCCUAAACUCAAAGGCUAGUUCUACGGAAUCGUGGUUAGAGACCGACUUUGCUCUAUGGGGCAGAGUGUUGGCCUGUCAAGAAGUCUCACAUUCAAAAGAUGAAGGUGACGGAGAUGAGAAUGCUUUGGUGGAUGUAUGGGUGACUAGGAAAGUUAGGAUUAGAAAUGAGGUUAUUCGAGAUAAGGUGGGAGUGGCUUCGGUGGAAGCCAAGAUGAAGGAAGCGAGAUUGAGAUGGUUCGUACAUGUGAUGAGGAGGGGCACGAGUACCCUUGUGCGGAGGUGUGAGAGAUUGGUUAGGGCCGGCUUUAGACGAGGUAGAGGUAGACCGAAAAAAUAUUCCAAGGAGGUGAUUAGACAUGACAUGGAGCAACUUCAACUUAACGAGGACAUGAUCGUAGAUAGGAAGUUAUGGAGAAGGCAAAUUAGGGUAGAAGGUUAGCAUUAUUUCAGAAUGUUGUAUCGUUUGUUGUGUUACUUGGUGAACCUUAUCUAUGGUAUUAUUGGGUGUGAUAAUUUUUACUGUAUCUUGUCUUUUUACUAUUCCUUGUCUAGAUUGUUUUAUCUUGAGCCGGGAGUCUAUCGAAAACAACCUCUCUAUCUCAUCUCCGAGGUUGUGGUAUGGACUGCAUACACUUACCCUUCCCAUACCCUACUUGGUGGGAGUAUAUUGGGUUUGUUGUUGUUGUUGUUUUUUUGCAUUUUCACUCUUGUUAAAGUAAUAUAAGGAGGACUAGGGAAAGGGGUUCAGUAGAUACUAGGCAAUCAUAUAUUAAUCUACUUUCAGUUCAUGUAUGGUGCUUUUUUUGUUAUAUGACAAAGAAUAUCGUAAUACUACUCAAAGGUGAUAGUUUGGUUCCUUCAGCAGGCUGUGGAAGUUCAGUAUUGGUAUAUCUUUGCAAUAGGAUUAAAGCUUAUUUAAUCUACAAAAUCAUUGAAAUUAUUGUAUGGUUUUGAAUGUGAACGGUUAAGACUGGUUUAUAGCUGUAGUAUCAAGAAUAACAUCGUAGUCAUGUAGACCAGAUUUUGCUAAUUUGUUAUUUUAAAUUUCAUGUCCAUCAGAUUGGUAGUCCUUCUAAAAGAAUAUAGUUAUCGUACGAAUUGGCUGAAAUAUGCUGGCCAAAGUAGAUUGCUGUCAGAUGCAUAGGAGAAAUACAAUGCCUUGAUUAGAAACAAAACAUGAACAAAAUUUUAUCAUGAGCUGCCUCUAAAGAACGAGUGAGUGUGAAACAGGGAGCUGACUGGAUGCAGCAAUUUAAAGUGUUUGGGGAUUUACUCGGGUGACUAUUGUAGAUAUGUAUAAGGAAGAAAUUUAAAGUGUGUUUUUGGGUAAUUUUUAGGGAGACUAUUUCAUAUAUGUACGAGGGAUCAAUUAAGCUAUUUGAAUUGAGUUAUCAAGGAAAUAUUAUGGAAAAGAUGCAUCUGGAACUAAGGAAGUUAUGGACCAAUGUAAAUUAUGUUGGUGAAAAGACAAAGAUAACAAUGCAAUUAGCCAGGGAGUCAAAUUUUAGUUGAUAUAUGUCGGAUUUUUUUCUUCCAAUUUGUAGAAAAACACUAGCACUAUGUUGCUGCAUAAACUUUCGUAUUUUUGCUUCUGUUUCUUGUGAUUCCUUCACAGGAUUAAGUUAAUUACUGUUUUAGGACGAACUUAAUAUAAACCAAUUUCAUAUAGAAGGGUCAAUAUAUUUCCAAAUGAAGGUACAGUCUUACAGUUAUUUGCAAAGUGACCUCUUGAAGGAACUGACGCUCCUUUCUAGUGUAUAUCAGAUGACUUAAUGACCCUAUUUAGUCAGUCAGGAAAGGAAGGUGCCUAGUGCCAUAGGGACGAACACUUAAAGUGCUUGAUCACUGGUACAUAUUGAUUCAUGUAAGACAGGUGCAUAACUAAAAAGGAUAAAUCCUGAAGCAGAUAUUGCCUGUUUCCUGUUUAUGAGAUUUUGGCCACUCAAGUUUCAGACUUGCAAAGGUACAACAACAACAUACCCCAGUAUACUGCCACAAAGUGGGGUCUGGGGAGGGUAAAGUGUAUGCAGUUCAUACCACUACGUCAGACGAAGUGGAGAGGCUGUUUCCGACAACUUCCAAAGGUCCAAAAGGAAAAUAGUGCUUAAAUGGUUGUACUGUGACUUUUCUGUAGUCGUUGCAAGGACUAAAGCUUGUAUUGGUUAUCUGUUGGUGCACAGCCUUCAGAACCAGUUCAACGUCUUCUUUUCCGAGCAGGCGUAUUACCUCCUCCACCUAUGUUGGCUAUGGGACAAAAAGGCGGUCCACGGGACACUCGAUUAGUCGAUCCUAUGACUGGACGCAUCAUGACUCCUUAAAGUGCCAAAAAUGCCAAUCCAAAAGUUGGUUCUGAAGUUGAUGAAAACAAAAA